UACGGGGGGGGCAAGCGUUGUUCGGAAUUACUGGGCGUAAAGGGCGCGUAGGCGGUCUACUAAGUUGGAUGUGAAAACUCUGGGCUUAACCCAGAGCCUGCAUUCAAAACUGAUAGGCUGGAGUUCUGGAGGGGAUAGCGGAAUUCCGAGUGUAGAGGUGAAAUUCGUAGAUAUUCGGAAGAACACCAGUGGCGAAGGCGACUUACUGGACAACUGUUGACGCUGAGGUGCGAAAGCGUGGGGAGCAAACAGG
rnacentral:rRNA from 1 species